rnacentral:lncRNA from 1 species
UGACAAUGAAAUAUGGGGUAUGUCUGUCUAUAAUGGUGGUGGUGGUGAGGGUCAGCUUGCUCAUAGGAGGCAAUCAGUCUCUCCCCUUUCCUGACCAUUUCCUCUUCCUUACCAGGAACUCUCUCACUUUCCUUACAUUCAUAUAUUGUGGAUAUUCAAAGUUUAGCCCAUCUAAAUCUUGAGACAUAAGCUAUCCAAGUCCUCAGGAGAGAUGGGAUUUUGCAGUCAGUCAAUAAACAUUUAUUAUGUGCCAAGAAUUGUGCUAAACUCUAGAAUAUAAAGACAAAAUUCAAUUUCUGCCCUCAAAAACAUAUUCUAUCCAUAUCCAUAGAGAUGGAAGUAGUCUUAGGGAAAAUAGUCAUAGAUUAUCUCAAAGAUUUCUAAUCUUUGUGCUGUGGACUGACUCUAUAAAUAGAUUGGUGAGGAUAUGCACCCUUUCUCAGAAUAAUGUUUUAAAAGUAUAAAAAUACCUAGGAUUACAUAGGAAACAAAUACAUAUACACAUAUACAUGGAUGCCUUUAAAAAUAUUCAAAGAAGAGGUUCAAUAUGAUUUAUCUGUAAAUGUUUAUGUAUUCAUAUAUAUUUAUAUAUGUGGACACAUACACUAAUAUUCAUGUAUAUGUUCAUAUAUACAUACAUAUGCACACAUAUGUACACACACAAAUUCCCAGACUCCAUGCAUUUUAAGAACUUCUGAUUCUAGCCCAACUUUUUCAUUUUAAAGGUAAGGAAAUUGAAGUUCAGAGAGAUUAGGAAAGGAUUUGCUCAAAAUCAUGUUAGGUGGGCAGUGGGGCAGAUGAGACUAAUGCUCAAUUCUCUAGAAUGUCAAUUUUGGAGCUUCUGUAAAGACCCUGAGCAAUAUCAGUAUAACAAAAUUGUCCUGGUGUGGGGCAUUACUCGGCUUGACUGCAUUGAAUUUCCAGUUUUGUUGAAAUUCCAGUUUCUAGCCAGUUCUUGGCUAUCCCUUAAUUUUAACUCUAAGGUAGUUUUCUCCUUCUUUAAUAGGCAAAUAAAUUUAUUUGAGGGAUCAAGGAUCUGGCUCUACUUUAGGACUUUCUGUAAUUCAUUUCUCCCCACUCCCAUUUGACCCCAUUGAAGAAUUUUUUUCUCCCUUUCUUCCUAUCCCUCCUCUUUGGGUCUCUGUGUGUUCACAUCUGCAUACAGCCUAGUAAAGAACUAUUUUGGGAUUCAAUUAGGGUCUGCUCUCAUCUUCUUGCCAGGGUCCCUCACAAAUUUAUUAUCCACUCUGCCUUGGUUCCAAAUUAAAGCCAUCAUCUAUAAUAGUUCACCAGAUUUGGGGAGCUUUUCCUUUUGAUACUAGUGACACUGAGAACUGACUUGUGAACUCCCAGGCAGCAGGAGAAUAUUAAUGGUAAGUCGUUGGCCAUUUACCCUGCCCCCCGCCCCUCUCACUUCACUGGGGAGAACUCUGGGAGGUCUGUAAGGUCGGGAUAGAUCUAUAUUGUAAGAGGCAGUGAGACUGAAAUAGCAUUACUAUUCCAUUUGGGUCUGUUGUCGUACUUAAAACAAAAAGACUAUUAUGAAGCCCAUAGAUCAGCUGCCGUAAAAGCUUCCAUAAAGCCCUGAUCGCUAUAUGAGGUUAUAACAGCAGUGUUAAUCUUCUCUACAGUGUUUACACAGCUAGCUCAUCCAUGGUGUCGCUGGACUUGGGCCAGCUUGCUAGAGAACAUUCUUGAUUAAAAAAUGUAAAAGUUGUGUUGCUUUAAGCAGUGACCCUAGGAGUUUACAUAUACCUGGGUUAUCAGUUCCCUCAUAAUUCAUGGAUCUGAAUUGCAAAUUUGGGGGAGGCUGGUUUGGAUUUCACACUCUUGUGAUUCAGUUGGGGCAAAGGAUUUAAUUACACUGCCAGUCCAGCAUGGAGGUAUCAGCCCAGGCUUCUCAACAAGGAAACCAAAUCUAUUUUGGAGAUGCAUGUCAAUUUUAUCCCCCCCCCCUUCCAGAUGCAUGUCAAUUGCCCCCCCCCUUUUCAUAGAAACUUUUUGGGCUUCUGAUUGGUUUUCCAAAUUAGAUAAGGAAGUUUAUGGUUCACACUCGGAACUGAGGUUCUCCCAAUGCCACACUAGUUAACUGGGAUCCUUACAAGAAAUGGUUAUCCCAGUAAUAAACUUGGAAGUGUUUUUGACCCAUUGACAUUUUGAAAGCAGGUCAUUUAUAGGGGGAGAAGAAGCAUUUUAACUAUUUAAAAUGUAAACUCAUAAGCACAUGAAAGCUGAAAGAGAUCAAAACUAAUUUUUUCCUCCUCCAUAAAAUGAGAAAAAUAAUAGCAGCUUCCUCCUAGGUUGUUGCCAAGAACAAAUCAGAGGAUAUUUGCAAAGCACAUUAUUAUUGUUGUUAUUAUUAUUUCCUUUAUCAGAUUCAUGUUUUCCUUUCCUACUUCCAAUCCUCCCUCCACCCAUUGCAAUAGACACUUCUGCCUUUUUUUCCCCCCUGAAUUUUUAUGUUGUCCUUUUAAUAGCCAACCCUCAAUUGGAAUGAGGAUGGAAAAGCAAAAUUUAUUUAGAAAGAUAAUUUUUCCCAUGACCAUAGAAAUGAUCAGUAUCCUAAAGGUUUCUUCCCCCCAUCCCUAAACAUUCUAUCUUUAGCUUUUCUCUUAAUAAACCCUGAAAAACUAUAAAUCCCCAAAUCCUCCUCAUCCAGUCUAAUUUCACUAAUUUCAAUCUAUUUUGUUUAUUUAUUUGUUUUGGGGAAACAGCCUUUAGAUAGGCUGGCAACUGUUAUUAUUUUUUAAAACCCAAUUUGUGUUUGAUACACGUUUAGAAAUGUCAAUCUCCAUCUUUCUUCAAUUGUCCAAUCUGACUGAAAAAUAGUCUCUGAUGAAAAUUUUGCAUAUCGUAUCUAUGUCUUAACUCCAACAUUUAGACAAUCUGCCAAGAAAACAUUUUGCUUUUGAUCUUGAAAUAAAGGGGGAAAAAACAACCAAAAACCACUUGCUUUUACAAUCAUGGAAAGAAAAGCAUUUCUUUUAAGAAAACCCAGGUUAGCAGGACAAAAGCAUCAUGGCAUGUGAUCUGUUGAAAGACAUUUGGAAAAUGAAAGUCUUGCCUAAAGUAUAACUUAAUCUCACUGGGGCAAUGGGCACAAUCUGGAAUGUCUUGCUCGGGCACACAUUAGUGACUUUGCCAACUUCCUGGAGGUUCAUGUCGGAUUCUGCAAAAGGACUGCAUUUCCUUUUGGAAUGGGGACUGAGAAAGAGAGGCAGCAGAGGCCCGGGUCCACCAGUAAAUUUCUCCAUCUCUCUCUCUCCUCUCUCUCUAUUCCCCUUUCUCAACACUACUCCCUCUCUUUCAUUUCCUUUUUUCUCUCUUCACCCUCUUAUUGUAUCCCCUUUUUCCUCAAUCCCUCUCUUUUUUUCUCUUUCUCUCUCCCUCACCCUCUCUGUCUCUUCCUUUUCUUUAUCUUUCCUCUCUCUGUCUCUCUGUUUCUGUUUGCCCCUCUCUGUUUCUAUCUGUCUUUGUCUGUGUUCCUCUCCCUCUCCCUCUCUCCCCUCUUUCUAUUUCCCUUUCUCUCCAGUCCUCUCUACCCCCUUUCCCCAUCCCUCUCUCUUUCUUCCUCUCCCUCUAUCUCUUUAUCUUUUCCCUGCUCCUUGAUCUUUUCCCAUAUCUUUCUCUCUCCUCUCCUACCCCCACCUACCUGUUCCUAUAAGACGUCCUUCUGUGAUUAUCUCCAAAAAUUGACCACUCUGCCUUCAAGAUGGCUCUAUAUAUGCUGAAAGACCAGUGAUGUCACCAUGUGGAUACUUCCUGGAAUGAUGCAGGCGGAAACCCCUCUCUGUCCCAUGGAGAUGGUUUUGUGAGUAACUAUGGUCAGAAAAAGUAAAUUUUGGCAUCUAGCCCUCUGGUGAUGAUUCUUUCCACACUUGACUGGCCUUCAUUUUGAUAUCACACAGCCUGCUUUUGUUGGUCCUUAAGUGUUAUACUUUCAAGAACUUAGAUGACCUCUAAGCAAGGGCAUGUUGAAUGGAGCUGAAUGGAGAGGCUUGGGAGAGCUGAUUGUUAAAAUUUUAGAGUGAAUAUUUUCAUCUCAAGAAUUAACAAAUUUCACAAAUUAGUUAUGACUCCAAUUAUAUGAUUAAUAAAAACUUGAUUUGCCUUUUAGAACUUAAAAAAACCUUUUGAGAGUCAAAUUGGAUGGCCCAAGGAAGAUUGAGAUGAUGUCUUUUUCUCUCAUGAAAUUUUCCUAUAUUAAAUGGCAUAUUCAAAAUUAUUAUAUUUACCCCAAAGUUCUAUAUUAGACGCUCAAUACAUUCUUGUGAAUGAUAAGGGUGUUAGUUGGACUGUUUUUUUUUUAAAGCAGACCCAACUUCUUUUGACUCUCUUCUCUGUUUUUUCAAAACUAUUCAGAAUCAGAUAAAAAAAAUUGGCCAUCCAGUAGAUAUUAAGUGAUGGCUAUUAGAACACUUCACACUUCAUUAGAGAGUUACAUAAACAAUUACCAGGUCUUUAGGAACUUUUAAAGACGUACUUCCAAACAUAUCCCAUGGAAUCUCUAAGAAAGGUAUUUGACAGUAUCUUGAUAAUUAGACUAUCUCCAGUCCUCCUGAUCUAUAUCUUGUCACUGAACACAUAUGGCUCUGGAGAAGAAAGUGAGACUGGUGACUUUGCACAGCCCUCCCUCGCUUCGAUCCAGUUCAUUUGCUUACUAUAGCCUCACCUUCUCGAUGUCAUGGUCCUCUUUGAGAAACAAAUUCCCUUCUCAUUCUCUCAUUGUUGUUAAUUAGGCAGUAAGUCACAAACAGGUGGAGAGAAAAGAGGGAAAUCAGAGAAACACAGAGUCUAUUUAUCUAUCUUCUACCUUGAAUGAUCAGUAUUUCCCUAACUUUGUGGCUCAUUUAGCUUCUCUAUUAUAAUAAUGGAAUGUUGUUUAUUGAUUUUGUACUUGUGUUUUAGCCAGACUGAACAACUCUCCCUUCUGCUAAUACACCCUUUCUUCUUUUCUCCUCUUACCUUCCUUCUCUCUCCUUUUCUCUUUCCUCACACUAUUACCUGUGUCUAACAUCACUUCUCUCAUUUUUUUCUAUUCCCAUCCAUUACUGGGAGGAUACAGGUUUUCCUUUAUUUGCUCAACGAGAGUUGAUUUCUAUCCUUCUUCCCUUUCAGAAUUUACAUAAACCUUUUUGUUCCUUUCUGUACAUCUUAUUCAACUCUUUGGUCUGUAUUUGUCUCUAUGAGACGCUAAAAUUUUUGAGGAUUUAUUAAUCUUUCAAUUUUGCAUUCAGAGAGAUAGCCAUGAUAGUGGAUAGAGAAGUGCCAUCAAAGUCAGGAAAACCUGGGGUUAAGUGCCACCUCUGACCCAUAUUGGCUCUGUGACCUUGUCAACUCGCAACUUUCCUCUAAGACUGUAAAUUGUAGAAAAGGGGCUGACCUACAUUGAUCGAAGGAGAUUCCUCACCUCAUUAUCAAGUUAAUCGUAGAUUAUGUCCCUAUUUCCCUUCUGUCACAGUUUCUAAUUGGUAUUCAAUAAAUGUUGACUCUAAUGAAUUUUUGUUAAACUAUGUUGAAUUUGGGCUUGGAAUUGGGCUGAGUAUGAAUUCUAAGUAAAUUCUAAAUAAUUCCAUUUUUUCCUGUGUAACACUAGGCAAGUUAUUUAAAAUUUCUGGUGCUUAUUUUCCUAUAAUGGUAGAAAGAAAAAAGAUAGCAGGCAGAGGAAUAGAUGGAUGGAUGAACAGAUAGGUAUAUAGAUGGAUGGAUAGAUAGACAGGUAAGCUGAUAGAUCAUUUAUUAAACUUUAUGUGUCAGGAAAGCUUUUAAGUCCUGGGUAUACAAAUACAACCAAACAAUAUAGCCCUUGGCUACAAGGAGAUUACAUUUUAAUGGGGACUGGACUAAAUGCUCUCUAUAAUCCCUUAUCACUCUAAAUCAAAGUUUCCCAAAUACAGUAGAAUCCUCUUUCUUAAGUAGUACAUCUAUUUUCCAAAAUACUUUCCUUCAAAAUAACUCUUCUUGAGAUGAAUUAGAUCAAACUUUCUCACAGCCUCCCCUGAGACUAGACUCAUAUAAAUGACCUGAGUCUCAUGAUGGUGAAGUUGACUUCCUCAUGACAUACAUAAGUAGCUAGUACUGGAGAACUGAUCCCAACAGAAUUCUCCCUUGAAUCACUCAGCAUAUUUCAUGUUAUAAUACUCAGGUUAGCCUAGACCUAUAUUGUUGUUUGUCCUUUGAUCUUGAAGCAGACCAUGAAAUCAGGGAGGUGAUACCAUGACAUGAAAUGAAUUGGAUAUAAGUGAUGGGGGACUUUGCAAGGUCAUCUGCCUCCCUUACUGUCUAGAGCCAUCUAGGUCCAGUGGCCAAUUGUAGAUCAGGACAAUUGGAGAUGGCCCUGGAUGCAAUGGGAGACCUUGACCUUUUUAAACUAAGAUCUAUCAACAAGUCUAAGUUUGACUGAUACAGCACCCAUUCAGUGAGCAGCAAAAAAUCUCUUUUACCUAGUCCCCCCCCCCCCCAGCCCAAUCUAAAUAAAUAAACAAAUAAAUCUGGGAGGUGAAGACCCUCAGAUUUUCUGGCCAAAGAAAAGAUUAUUGCUACUUACAUUCAGUCUGAGAAAAUCAGUACCCAAACAAUGACCAAUUGGGACUUGGUUUAGGACCUAUUGGUGGCUAAUGAGAAUAAGAUUGGUUUACAGCUCAAUCCAACAUCUCAUUCUGGUCUUAAAGACUGACCAUGUCCAAAGAAACCAGAGAUUCUUAACCUCCUUUCUGUCAUGGAACCCCUUUGACAGGCUGGUGAAGCCCAUGGACACCUUUCCAGAAUCAUGUUUUUAGAUGCAUAAAAUUAAAAAAAAGAGCAAUUCUAUUGAAAUAAAGUCAUCAAGAAAUAUUUAUUUUAAAAAACAUCUCACAAAUUCAGGGAACCCAGGCUAAGAAGAACUUCUGGUAUAAAUGUUUGUUUUGGCAAGCCCUCCAAAAAGGUCACAGGUGAGUGAUAUUCCCUUUACCAGUCCCCCACCCUCUCCCCAGGUCUGAAGGGAGAACUGAGCCCUGAAGUAUGUCAAGGUUCAUUGGGGAGCAGAUGGAGCUCAAGUGGGUCCUACCUCAGACUCCCCUCCUGGCAGCCUGUUUCAGCUUUUGGCUUCUUGCUCACACAUUCCUAUGAGCUUGCUGCCAGCUCGUUUCCCCAAAGGGUUGCUCAGUGGUGAGAAACUAGGGAUUCUUUCUUAUCUCGCCAGAACAGGAUGUGUCCUGUAAACUGUGUCCAAAAGGUUUCAAAGCCUUCCAGAUGAUGAGCUAGCAAGUUUGGGCAAAAGGCAAAGCGAUCACACAGUAUCUGACUACAGUAUUCUCUUCUGGCGCUCAAUAAGCACACAGCGGCUAGUCUCCCCUUCUCCCUCUCCCCCACCCCUCUGUUGGCAUUUCAGCAUAUCCUGGCCUUUACUAGCUGGGAUGUGGGUCCAAAGGGAGAUCCCCGAACACCAAGCGGCCAAGGUGAAAGUGGGAAAUGACACGGGUGAAUUCCUGCCAUGUGGGGAAUGUUUCCGGCAAUUCUCUCCCAUCCUCUGUUUUUUAUUUGUUGUCUAGAAAUUGGUGUUGGGAAAACUUUUACUGUUCUAUCCUUAGUAUCUCUGAACUGGAAGGCCUGAUUCAGCAUUCACUGAAGGGAACCUUAGAAUACAGAGUAUCCCGGUUGGAUUUUAAAAUGCAAAAUAUCAAGUGAUAAAGGUACUGAGAACAUAGAAUGUCAGAAGUGGAAAGGUUCUUUAGAACAAGGUUCCCUAAUUUUUCUGGAUCAUGAGCCCCUUUGGAAAUCUGGAGAAGCCUAUAUAACCCUUCUCAGAAUUACUUUUUAAAAUUCUUAAUCGAAGGAAAUAUUAAAUUUCAGUUAAAGACUAGUGAAAAUAAAGCUAUGAUGUUUUUUUCUUAUUCAAGUUCAUAGAUUUCCCCUGAAAGUCUCAAUAAACACUGGGCUCCAAUGAAGAAUCCCUUCCAAAGAACGUCAAAGUUAGUGUCUCUCCUGUGUUAGUUUUUCUCCACUUCAUCCUGUCCAUAUCUAAUUGACCCAUAGUCAUAGGCAUGUUGUCUUUGUCAUUACAUAAGGUCAAGGACUGUUUUUGCCUAGUUUGUCUAGCUAACAUUUAACAUACUGUCUGACACAUAAUAGGCACUUGAUAUAUGCUUGACUGACUGACUGACCUAAGAACCCAAAAUAUCAGUGCUAGGUAAUACCCAAGAAUCAUUUUAGUCCAAGACUCUUUAUUAUUACAGAUGGUGAAACUGAAGUCCAGAAAGAUUUGAAACAUAGGUCUUCCUUAACCCAGAUGACAUUUUUAGAGGGGGAACACAUUGCUUAAAAUGAAUCUGGAGAGAGUCAAGGGAUCAGGGAGAUAAGGAACUCAGUAUAAAAAAAAUCACUUCACCUCUUACCCCUUUGGGACUAGUUUCUGCACCUUUAAGAUUAAUGUGUUGGACAAAGGUUUCUUUCAUUUGCCAAACCCUAUAGGUGUCAGAAUAUCCAUAAUAGCAUUCACAGUCAUCUGUUUUGUUCUGAGGAUUUGUAAGGAUUUUCUCUAAGUUAUUCCAUUAAUGCUUAGAAGGGUAGUCAGUAUGAUGUUGGUGUUAGGACUGAGAUGAAAUUUGCUCCAGGAUUUACUUGCUAUGUAAUAUAGGACAAAUCUCUUCCCAUCUUUGGUCUCUGUUUUCCCACCUGGAAAAUGGGGACAAUGAUACGCUCACAUGUUAGUUCAUAGGGUUCUUGUGAGGUUUGGAAAAAAGGAAAAUGCUAGGAAGUGAGGAAAAAAGAAAAGCAUGGAAAGAAUGUAUAAAAUCAGGUCAAGUCUAUAGAGAGAAUUCUAUGGAUGCAUGAGUGUAAAAUAAAAUCUAAGAGGAUCAUUUUUGUCCUGUAUCCCUGGGAAUGAAGGACCAUAAAUCGCAUCUACCUGCCUGCCUUUCCCCUCCAGUCACUGAUAAAGGAUGGGAUGAUCCAACAAAGAAGCCAUGUGCCAUCAUCUCAGCACCAGCUCUGACACUGUUCCAAGAUUUUGGCCAUCGCUGAGGCUCCAUUCCAUGACCCGCAUAAAGAUGCCACAGCCACCAAUGACCAUAACUAAUAACACCUGCUUGGUGAACUCAGGGAGCCCAAGAAUGGAAUGGAGGCAGCUUGGUAAGAAAUUCCAUCGCUGCAAUAUGGAAGUGUUUAAGCCUGGCCAACACCAGUCAGGGUAGCAGAGAUCUGAACCUUUAAAUUACCGCCAUUCCCUGCCUGAGGGAAAAGUAAAUAAACAAUUCACAGCUGCAUCACCUAAACACAGAAACACAGCUAUCUCUUUGGGGCUGUGAUUGCUGAACAAGUAAUUAAGUGGGAAAUGUGAGCCCUCAAUGUCAGUGUGACAUGAUAAAGGUCUCAGGCUGUAAAUUAACUGAACCCCAGAGAGACCUGGGGAUUAACCCUUGCAGCCAGGAGAGGUGAGAGCAGUCUUAUCAGCCCAAAGUGUCAGCUUCAUGGAAAUGGGAUGCAAUAUAGGCCAUGGAUCCAACACUCUGAACUCACCAGGGCUGUUUUUAUCUGAUUAUUUAAACGCUCUGGAAUUUGGAUGACUUCCCUGUGGAGCCCUUGUAAACGCUCAAGGGAAAGGUAGACUGAGUAAGGCUUGGAGAGUGAAAUUCCUUGGGUUUAGUACUUCUCUCAAGGAACCAAUUAAACACCUAUUUUGUUGUUGUUGUUUUUAGAAAUUGGCGAUGUCCAAUAGUAUACGAGGGGCUAGGUUUCUAAAUGGAAAAAAAAAUGCUUAAAGGUUGGGUUAGGAGCACGUUUGUAAUGAGAUAAUUGGACAAACAACAUCUGGCUGGAAGUUAGCUAAUUUGAGUUUCAAUUUUGUUUUCAAUAGUUCUAGUUCUGUGACUUUGGUUGACUUAACUUUUUAGAACCUCAGCUUCUCCAUUUGUGAAAGGAUUAUAGGGAUGAUAGCUCACAUGUAAGCAUGGCUUUCAGGUUUACAAAGCAUCUUACACACAUUUUCUUGUUGGAGAGGUAGUAUGCAUUUGGAAUCAAAGUGCCUUGCAUUGAAUCAUGACUAUGGGUGCUGAUUACCUGUGGGAUGACCUUGUGCAAGUCAGUUCACAGGUUCCUCAUCAGUAAGAUAAGAGGAUUGGAUAAUAUUGUCCCUAUGGUCCAUACUGUACAAUGGAACAAGUCAGCUCCAGGGUCAGACAACUUCGGUUCAAAUCUCAACUCUGCUGCUUAGUACCUUAGGCAUCUCACCCAACUGACCUGGACUUCAGUUUCCUCAAAGAGUUGAACCAGAAGACUUCCGAGUUAGUUUUCUCAUAGCGCUAUACUUAUAAUCCUUCCACUAUCUAUUACUCUUUUGUUUUUCCAACAAACCUAUUAGACCAGUUGAGUAUUAUACCCUCAUAGAAAAAGUAACAGUUUUUAGAAGGGAUUUCCUCAGAGAAGUAAACUCACAUUUUACUUUACAUACCUCACAGGGCUUUUAUCUAUGUCAAGUAAGAGCAUCUAAGUGUUCUAUUUUGGUAGAGUUCUGUUUAAAUAGAAAUUAUAAUAAUUAUUACUAUUAUUAUUAUUAUCAUAAGUAUCAUAGUAUGCCUUAAAGAAAAGUGAUAGCUUUCCCCCUCCUUGGAUAGACAGACUUCUCCAUAGACAGAGGGAUUCAGAAUAGAAAAUAUGAGCUCCAUAUGACAAAUAAAGGAAUAGAUUGGAAUAUGCUUUGAUGGAAAUCACUAGAAAUUAGUGGGAGACUGUGAGAACUGUUAUGGUAAUAGAGAAAAAGACAUUUGGUUGGGAGAUUUUUUGGUUCAUUCUUGUUGGUAAUUUAUAAUGUUAACUUGGGGCAAACUGACUAAGGGGACUUAUGGGACCCAGUUCUCUGCUCCAUGAAAUAAGAAGGUUGGACUAGAUCAGGAAUUGUUGCCCCAGAAUCCACAGACUCCCAAGAAAACCAGGCAAAAAUUUUAGGGGCUUUAUGAACUUGGAUAGUUCCUUGGAUAGGAAAAUAAUUCAUCUUAAUUUUCACUAACAUCUAACUGAAUGAAUUCAAUUAUGAAUACAGGUAAUAUAUCACUGAAAUAUUAAGGUUGUCCAGACUACCAAAGGGGUUCAUUAAACAAAAAAAAAUGUUAGGAACUCCUGGACUCUGUGAUUUCUAAGGAUCCAUCUCCAACAUUCUGUACUCUGAGAUUUUUUUUUUGCUCUGGUAUUCUCUUAUGCAGGUAUUUUCUUGUUCUAGAGUUCUGUGGAUUUUGAAGGCUGUUUCAAGGGCUAAAGCAAUAUUGAUGGGGUAAUUGCAGUUCAUCAUCGAUUUACAGUGAGGUUUCAAUUAGUGCAAAUAAAGAAUCCCCUGGAGUGGCUGCAUGUAUUUGAAUUCACAACAUUGAACGUUAUUUCUAUGUCAAAUAUAGCCCAACCUAAUGGAAAUAUGCAGUGUGAAUCUGAAUACUGUAGUCACUUUAAUGACUUUAUUUUUCAUACUAAUCAAUUCCUGUUUGUAUUAUUAAAUGACUUUGGUUUCUUGUUAAUUCUGGCAAAGACAUUUGUUAAUAUAGAGUAAAAUUUACCAUGAUGUUGUGGAAAGGGUUAGGGUUAGGACUUCUGUCCAGUCAAUUAUCAAAAUUCCAAAUUAAGGAAUAAUUCCUUAUUAUUGUUGUGUUAAGCAAACCAUAGCCUCUCUGGACUCUUUUCUAGAUGAGGGCUAAAGUUAAGGGAUUUGGAUUCAAAAUCAUCCUCUUCCAGGUAAUGAAAUGUUAGUUUAGAGCUACCCAGGGGAGGGAGGGAGGAAGGGAUAAAGGGAAGAAUUGCUUAAAUGCCUAAGGUCUCACACAAAUCUUGUGACAGAGUCUCCAGUUCCUUGUGCCGGAUCGUAGACUCUAUAGGAUAAAGGUUGAGGCAGGGAGUGAAGCACUUCUGAACUCUGACUCUUACCUCAUGUUUGGAACUCUCCUCUUCAUCUUCAUCUCCAGCUUUCUUCAAAUCUCAGCUAAACUCUCAACUUCUUCAAAAAACCUUUUCCAAUACCACUUAAAACCAGUGCCCUCCUAACUUUCUCAGUCUGUUGUCUGUAGAUAAAUGCUUGAUUGACUGUUUAUCUAUCAUCUGCUUAAAGACUUCCAGUGUGAAAGAAAUCCCCUAUUGCCUGAAGCAACCCAUUUCUCUCUUGAAUAGCUGCAAGGUUUACCUUUCACACAAUAUGGAUUUCCCUUUUUGCUACUCCAGUUCUGCCUCCUAGAUUCAAAUAGUUCUAACUCAUUCAAAUACUUGAAUGUGAUAUAAUGAUCCUUCUAAGUGUUCCUUUUUUAAUGCUAUGCAUCCCUUUCCCUUUAUCUUUACCCAGUCUUCAUAAAGCAUGAAUUCAAGAUUAUUUCCUGUUUAUUCUGGCUGAACCUCAUCUAGGCAUUUUUCAGCUUAUCUGUAAUGGUGGAUCCUGAAAUCAAAUCUGAUCUCAGACCUUUACAUAGCUGUGUGAUCCUGUAGAAGUAACUUAAUCUUUGCUUCAGUUUCCUCAAUUAUAAAAUGGGUAUUAUAAUAACAGUACCUACAUCCCAGGUUUGUUGUGAGGACCUCACUUUAUCAUAUUUCUAAAAUGUCUAUAGAAAUACUUGUUCCCUUCCUUUUUUCCUUCUUCCUUCCUUAUCAAGUACCCAAGACAGAACAUAAGUGGCAUAUAGUCAGAGAGUGAAGAGGACAACUGGACUAUUAUCUUCUUAUUUCUGGAAGCCCUAAAUAAAUUCCUAUUAGCUUUUUUGGGUACUGUAUCACACUGAUUCAUACUGAACUUAUCGUCCACUAAAACCCCAAGAUCUUUUUUUUAGACUGACUUGUCCCUGAUCUUGUAUUUGGGAAUUUGGUUUUUUGAAUCAAAGUGUAAGGUUAAAUUUAUUUCUCUUUUUGCUAAUAUCUUAUUUAAGAUUUUAGCAUCAAUAUUCAUUAGGGAGAUUGGUCUAUAAUUUUCUUUCUCUGUUUUCAGCCUACCUGGUUUAGGUAUCAGUACCAUGUCUGUGUCAUAGAAGGAAUUUGGUAAGACUCCUUCAUUCCCUAUUUUAUCAAAUAAUUUAUAUAGCAUUGGGGCCAAUUGUUCUUUAAAUGUUUGGUAAAAUUCACGUGUAAAUCCAUCUGGUCCUGGGGAUUUUUUCUUAGGGAGAUAUUAAGAUAUUAGCAAAAAGACUACAGAAAAUCAUCUCCAAGAUAAUACACUAUGAUCAAGUAGGAUUUAUACCAGGAAUGCAGGGCUGGUUCAAUAUUAGGAAAACUCAAUAUAAUUGGCCAUGUUAAUAACCAAAUUAACAAAAACCAUAUGAUCAUCUCAAUAGAUGCAGAAAAAGCAUUUGAUAAAAUCCAACAUCCAUUCCUAUUAAAAACACUUGAGAGUAUAGGAAUAAAUGGACUUUUCCUUAAAAUAAUCAGCAGCAUCUAUUUAAAACCAUCAGUAAGCAUCAUAUGUAAUGGAGACAAACUGCAACCAUUCCCAAUAAGAUCUGGAGUGAAACAAGGUUGCCCACUAUCACCGUUACUAUUUAAUAUUGUAUUAGAAACG